UACGUAGGGGGCGAGCGUUGAUCGGAAUUACUGGGCGUAAAGCGUGCGCAGGCGGUUUUGUAAGCCAGAUGUGAAAUCCCCGGGCUUAACCUGGGAAUGGCAUUUGGGACUGCAAGGCUCGAGUGCGGCAGAGGAGACUGGAAUUCCUGGUGUAGCAGUGAAAUGCGUAGAUAUCAGGAAGAACACCCGUGGCUAAGGCGGCUCUCUAGUACGGUACUGACGCUGAGACGCGAAAGCGUGGGGAGCGAACAGG
rnacentral:rRNA from 1 species